CCACUGACGCGACUCAUGUAAAUAGAACCACCCACAUUUAAUUUUUUAGCAAAUCGCCUAUUCCAUGGGCUUGGAGCUGCAGUUCCAUCAGCACCUAUGUUAAUCCGGCCCUGCGAAACACAGAUAUUGGGUCAUAAUGCAAAGCGCCACAUUUGGUGAAAACCAAACAUAUCAUAUCAGAACAAACACCUCAUACCAACUGUCAAGCACGGUGGUGGAGGGGUGAUGAUUUGGGCUUGUUUUGCAGCCACAUGAUCUGGGAUGUCAAAUAUGAGACCAUCUGUCCAACAACUAAAGCUUGGCCAAAAUUGGGUAAUGCUACAGGAUAAUGACCACCAACUCUACAACAGAAUGGCUGAAAAAGGAGAGAAUCAAUGUAUUGCAACG